CGCUAGUAAUCGCGAAUCAGAAUGUCGCGGUGAAUACGUUCCCGGGUCUUGUACACACCGCCCGUCACACCAUGGGAGCCGGAAAUGCCCGAAGUCAGUGGCCCAACCUUAAAGGAGGGAGCUGCCGAAGGUGGAGCUGGUAACUGGGGUGAAGUCGUAACAAGGUAAC
rnacentral:rRNA from 1 species